rnacentral:rRNA from 1 species
UACGUAGGGUGCGAGCGUUAAUCGGAAUUACUGGGCGUAAAGCGUGCGCAGGCGGUUCGUUAAGUCAGAUGUGAAAGCCCCGGGCUCAACCUGGGAACUGCAUUUGAAACUGGCGGGCUUGAGUGCGGCAGAGGAGACUGGAAUUCCUGGUGUAGCAGUGAAAUGCGUAGAUAUCAGGAGGAACACCGAUGGCGAAGGCAGGUCUCUGGGCUGACACUGACGCUCAUGCACGAAAGCGUGGGGAGCAAACAGG